AGCGAACGCUGGCGGCAGGCCUAACACAUGCAAGUCGAACGAACCUUUCGGGGUUAGUGGCGGACGGGUGAGUAACACGUGGGAACGUGCCUUUAGGUUCGGAAUAACUCAGGGAAACUUGUGCUAAUACCGAAUGUGCCCUUCGGGGGAAAGAUUAAUCGCCUUUAGAGCGGCCCGCGUCUGAUUAGCUAGUUGGUUGAGGUAAUGGCUCACCAAGGCGACGAUCAGUAGCUGGUCUGAGAGGAUGAUCAGCCACAUUGGGACUGAGACACGGCCCAAACUCCUACGGGAGGCAGCAGUGGGGAAUCUUGCGCAAUGGGCGAAAGCCUGACGCAGCCAUGCCGCGUGAAUGAUGAAGGUCGUAGGAUUGUAAAAUUCUUUCACCGGGGACGAUAAUGACGGUACCCGGAGAAGAAGCCCCGGCUAACUUCGUG
rnacentral:rRNA from 1 species